AUUGAACGCUGGCGGUAUGCUUAAGACAUGCAAGUCGAACGGUAACAGGCAAGAGCUUGCUCUUGUGCUGACGAGUGGCGGACGGGUGAGUAACACGUGGAAAUCUACCCAGUAGCGGGGGAUAAGUCAGAGAAAUUUGAUCUAAUACCGCAUACGCCCUACGGGGGAAAGGCUUCGGCCACUAUUGGAUGAGUCCGCGUUAGAUUAGCUAGUUGGUGAGGUAAGGGCUCACCAAGGCGACGAUCUAUAGCUGGUCUGAGAGGAUGAUCAGCCACAUUGGGACUGAGACACGGCCCAG
rnacentral:rRNA from 1 species